rnacentral:lncRNA from 1 species
CUUUCAGCCACCACGUGGUGUCCUCUGAGCAGGACCGCCUGAUCUUCUGGGCACCCCUCGCCCAACAUGACCACUGCCUCUAGGCAUCACAUCCCAGGCUGGACACCAGGGGCCAGAGUUGCUCACUGCUCCCUUCACACUCCACGAAGGCCUUCCUGAAGCAGAGCUGUUCGUAUUUCCACAAAAUCACCUUCCCCACCUCCCCCCACCAAAAAAGAAAAAAAAAGAAAUCACCCUUCCCCGCCUCCCCCACCAAAAAAAAAAAGAAAUCACCCUUCCCACCUCCCCCCAACCAAAUAAAAAAUAAAAAAGAAAUCACCCUUCCCAAACAGAAAGAAGGAAAUCACCCUUCCCUUUUUCACGUGUGGCUUCCAUUCUCCUUAUGCCCCUGUUGUGAGUCCCAGAGGCUGAGUGAUGGCUGCCACACUGAACUCAAGAGUCCCUCCUCCCCUACAUCUCUACAUCUCUGAAGCUUCACUUGGAUCCAGCUUGUCAUACCCAACCCUAUUCCAUUAAGAGAGGUGUCUCCCAGGAGGCCACUGAGGCAGUAGACCCAGGCAAGUCUGUCCUGUCAUGUUGCAAGCAGCUCCUGAUGUGGCNNNNNNNNNNCUACGUAAAUGUUGAAAGUGAAAUCAUGUAAGAGACGAGUUUGCUAAUGUAAUAUUAUGAACAUUAUCUGUAACAAACCAUUAUAGCUUGUUUGCUCAAUCAGCUGCAAAAGAAAAACAAUCUUCUACAAAAAAGUUUCAUUUCAGUAGCUAAAGGGUUGAAAAUUCUUUUUCCUGAACAAAAGUAAUCUUUUACUUAAUCAUAGUUGUAUACCUGAAUCUGACUGGCCUUGCUUAACACACAUAGCAAAGGUUGGAUGAAAGUUCUCGUUUUGUUGGAAUGCUACAGUAGCUGGAGAUCCAACUUUAGUAGUUAGUACCAUUUUGGUUCCAGUUGUAACUGAGCCACUUAUGGGGGCCACCAUAACCUUCUGUGCUGGAGAGUAUGGUAUCUGCAAGUCAGCUGGUAAUUGCAGGACAGUGCGUCGAACACUGCACAUGCACGAGUCAGCGUUUUGCUACUAGAGACGGGGCUACACCACCAAGGGCGAGGAGACAUGAAUCUCAAGUACUUCAGGUGAUCUGCCUGCCUUGGCCUCCCAAACUGCUGGGAUUACAGGCACGAGCCACCAUGCCCAGCUGUGAAUCUGCUUCUAUGCUGGCUGUGUUUUCCUGGUCACAGCAGCCUCAGGCUCAGUGAAAGUUCACUUGCUGUAAUUAUUCAGGUUUCAUUGGUUCUCCCUUAUCCCCCUGCAAAGACCCACUCUCCCUCUAAGUACUGAUGGCAGCCUCCAGAGGGUAUCUCAAAUGUGCUCUUAAACUAGUCCUUUCAGCCACCACGUGGUGUCCUCUGAGCAGGACCGCCUGAUCUUCUGGGCACCCCUCGCCCAACAUGACCACUGCCUCUAGGCAUCGCCUCCCAGGCUGGACACCAGGGGCCAGAGUUGCUCACUGCUCCCUUCACACUCCACGAGGGCCUUCCUGAAGCAGAGCUGUGCAUAUUUCCACAAAAUCACCUUCCCCACCUCCCCCUGCCAAAAAAAAAAAAAAAAAAAGAAAUCACCCUUCCCAAAAAGAAAGAAAGAAAGAAAUCACCCUUCCCUUUUUCAUGUGUGGCUUCCAUUCUCCUUAUGCCCCUGGUGUAAGUCCCAGAGGCUGAGUGAUGGCUGCCACACUGAACUCAAGAGUCCCUCCUCCCCUAUAUCUCUACAUCUCUGAAGCUUCACUUGGACCCAGCUUGUCAUACGCAACCCUAUUCCAUUAAGAGAGGUGUCUCCCAGGAGGCCACUGAGGCAGUAGACCCAGGCAAGUCUGUCCGGUCAUGUUGCAAGCAGCUCCUGAUGUGGUUUGACCCCAGGGGCUAAACAAGGAUACACAGCUUCAUCUAGAGUAGAAUGAACCCCAAUUCAAUAGCCUCAUGGAGACCGGUGACAGACCAGGCAGCAGAAUGGAGGUGCAAAGCCACCUAGGGCUCAAGGACCGGGAAGCGGAUUCCCUGGGGAAGACACAUGGAGCUAGGGAAUGGCAGAAGCUAAGGAUCAAGCACCUCAUACACCCAGACUCCACAUGUGGAAACCGCUGUUCAAACUAACGAUACCAGGUUGACUGUGUCAGCCCCUGAAGGAAAGCUGGCAUAAAUAGAGCCUGGAAAACCAGGCUUAUCUUUGCCCAGUAGGCAAGGUAAAUAUUUAGUCCCAGCCCUGGAAUCGUGCCUGGUAGUUCCAUUCUUUGCUAUCAGUUUUCCUUUUAUUCACUCAUGCUGCAAAAACUAAUUUUUAAACAUACAUUACAUGCUGAAUUAUACUUAAAUAGAACAUGCUCAUUGUAGGAAAUGCAAAAAAUAUGAAAUGGAAACCAACUACAAUUCUACUAUGCUAAUUGGUUAUUUUUCAACGAUAAAAGCUGAUCCAGUUGGUUAUUUAGAGGAAGAGAAUUUAAGUAUCUCAAUGACCCAGGCACAGUUUUUGCAUGGUACUUUACUUAAUUCUCCAAUACGUAGUGUUCUAUCACAUGAAAAUUCAUAAUGAAAUUUUCCAAUUGCCCUAUAUUA